rnacentral:rRNA from 1 species
UACGAAGGGGGCUAGCGUUGUUCGGAAUUACUGGGCGUAAAGCGCAUGCAGGUGGAUCGCUAAGUCAGGGGUGAAAGCCCGAGGCUCAACCUCGGAACUGCCUUUGAUACUGGAUGGCUUGAGUUUGGGAGAGGGACGCGGAAUUCCAGGUGUAGCGGUGAAAUGCGUAGAUAUCUGGAGGAACACCGGUGGCGAAGGCGGCGUCCUGGACCAACACUGACACUGAUGAGCGAAAGCCAGGGGAGCAAACGGG